rnacentral:rRNA from 1 species
UACGGGGGGGGCAAGCGUUGUUCGGAAUUACUGGGCGUAGAGGGCGCGUAGGCGGCUUUUCAAGUCGGGCGUGAAAUCUCCAGGCCUAACCUGGAAGGGUCGUUCGAUACUGUUAAGCUAGAGUGUGGAAGAGGCUACUGGAAUUCCGUGUGUAGCGGUGAAAUGCGUAGAUAUACGGAGGAACACCUGCGGCGAAGGCGGGUUGCUGGGCCGACACUGACGCUGAUGCGCGAAAGCUAGGGGAGCGAACGGGAUUAGAACUACCGUAG